rnacentral:lncRNA from 1 species
CACAUGCAUUGCCAACCAUAGAAAUAGAAUGAACAGAACGCACGUCCCCUAUUCAAGUCAAUGAUGGAAUAACGGGUGGACUGGGAGCCCUUUUGAGUAUACCCAUGCCUAGGUUGAAGAUAAAAGUGCUUUUCAGGUUCCCAUAAUAGGCCACCGUUUCUUUCUGUCAGGGUUCGCCGUUUUCCACGCGCAGAUCAAGCCCAUCUGGAUGACCCUUCUAGGUGCCUAAAUUGAAACAUGGAGGCAACGUUGCAGAACUGACAAGACAUCUGGCCGUAUCAAAAUGAGCAGAGACCCGUUCAUCCUUUUCCAUUGACUUUCCAAAGCAAUGAGGGUAUGGAAGGGACUGCAGAGAUUUUUGAGAGUGAUGUUUUCCAUCUUCCCGUGCUGCCAGUUGAGAGGACAAAAUUCGAAAGACAGUUACGUGGCAGGCUAUUCCUCGGAAGUCACUCAUGUCAGGCUUCUCCGAUGCACAACUGUGCUGCGCGGCUGUCAGCGUUGCGGUCUCAUUCAACACUGGAGACUUUGGCGCCAUCCCUGCGGACACCACUUCUGCCGUGAGUGCAUGGAUCAGAUCAUAGAUGAUGGUUUCCGCGACAUCGAGGGGCUUGGCUCAAGUCCCUGUCCACAGUGUAAAUCAGUUGUAGCCUAUUAAAUGUGUAACCGUGACUGUAUGUUAGUGCCUUUUUCUGAGUUUGUGUAACCUUUUCUUUUUCAUUGCACUUUGUAGUCCCUGCAUGUCCCUAUUGCCCAGGCAAUUCAACAGAACUAUGGUAUCAUCAAGACAAAGGACAAGCAAUACUACUUCACCACUUAUCUAGUCAGUCAGAG